UGAUAGUGCACUAAGUACCGUGAGGGAACCACUUAAAAGUGCUUUUUAAUAAAAGGGUGAAAUAGUACUUGAAACUAUAAUUCUAUAAAUUUUAGUGUAUAUAAUAAAUUAUUUAUACUAUAUUCUUGUUGAAGAAAGAACCAGUGAAUUAUAAUUAUUGGCAUGGUUAAUUUUUAUAAUAAAAAAGAUCCAUAAUUAAAAAUAAAUAUCUUAAGAUGUGUUUUUUGUCAGUAAUUAUAGACUCGAAACUAAAUGAUCUAAUCAUGGAUAAAGCGAAGUUUAAUUAACAGUUAAAUGAAGGCUUGAAUCGGUUGAUGUCGCAAAAUCAUCGAAUAAGCUGUGAUUAGUGGAGAAAUUCCAUUCGAAUUUAGAUUUAGCUAGUUCUCCCUGAAAUAUGUUUUAGCAUAGCUGUUUUUAUAUUGUUGGUUUAAGAGUAGUAUUUAGCGAUGCAAAAAUUAAACCUAAAUUUAAGCAAGUCGGACAAUAAGGAACAAGCUUUAUUUGUCAAAAGGGAAACAGCCCAGACUAAAAACUAAGGCCUCUAAAUAAAACUUAAGUGAUUUCGAGAAAAAAAGGAUUUUGACAAUUAAAAAGUUUGCUUGGAAGCAGCAAUCUUAUUAAUAAGUGCGUAAUAGCUUAUUAAUCUAGUUCUUAUUUUUUUAAAAUAAAAAGGAGACUAAAAGUUUUUGCCGAAGUUUUAGAACAAAGUUAAAUUUGUUUGGUAAGGGAGUGUUUUAUAUUUUAUUAUAUAAAAGUAAAAAUAUUGGUUUUAGUAACGAAAAUAUUAAUCUAUAAUUUAAUACUUCAAAAAUAUAAGAAUUCUUGUAUAAAAUUAAAUUUUACAAGUUUAGUCGGUUACUAAUAUUAUAAUUAAACUAAUUAUGUAGAUGUGUUUUAGUUUAAUAUUACUAAACUUAUUAUACUAUAUAUUGCAUUGUUAUAAGACUAAAUAUAUUUUGUAUGUAUAAAUAAAUAUUAAUUAUACAUAUAAAAUAAUAUUUACUGGAAAAAUUAUUAAUGUAUUUAGUAUAAUUUAUAGCCGUAUCUUAGACUGACGAAAGUAUAUAAAUUGAGAAUAUGAAGAAGUUCGAGAAUAAGUCUCUUUAAGGAACUCGGCAAAUUGAUUCCGUAACUUAGGGAUAAGGAAUGUCAGGUGUGAGCUUGAUCAAAGGUAAAAUGGCCUAAACAACUGUUUAACAAAAACAUAGGUUUCCGCUAGAUUUAAAAAUUUUGUAUGGGAAAUUGAUGCCUGCCCGGUUUUGUACGUAUAAAGCGAUUAAUUAAAUAAAUUAAGUUGGUUGCUAAAAUAACAUUAAACGGCGGCUGUAAAUAUAACGGUCCUAAGGUAGCGAAAUUCCUUGUCGGGUAAAUUCCGACCUGCACGAAAGGCUUAAUGAUUUAGGCACUGUCUCAAAGAGAUUCUCGGUGAACUAAAAGUAUCCGUGAAGAUGCGGAUUUUUCAUACUAGGACAGAAAGACCCUAUGAAACUUUACUGUUGUUUGGUAUUGUUUUUUUUAUUUAAAUUAAUGGAAGUUAUUUAAAAGGUGACGUUAUACCGUUAUUUAUUAUAAAAUCAACUAAUUGUUAUUUGAUUAUUAAUAAGACAUUGUUUAAUAGACAGUUUAUAUGGGGCGUAGGCCUCUAAAAAAGUAACGGAGGUGUACAUAAGGUUUAUUGUUUUAUUACAAUAAAAUUUUAGUGAAUAAAAAUUUUAUAUAUGCUUGACUUGUAAGAUCUACGAAUCUAUCAGGGACGAAAGUCGGUUUUAGUGAACCGAUAAAUUUUGUGGUAUAAUUUAUCGUUCAUCGGAUAAAAGUUACUCUAGGGAUAACAGGCUAAUCUUUUAAUAGAAUCUCUAUUAAUUAAAAGGUUUGGCACCUCGAUGUCGGCUUAUUGUAACCUUGAGUUGAAGGGGAUUCAGGAGGUUGGGUUGUUCACCCAUUAAAUCAAUACUUGAGCUGGGUUCAGAACGUCGUGAGACAGUUCGGUCCAUAUCCAGUAUGAAUGUUGGAACAUUGCAAUGUUUGUCGUUUAGUACGAAAGGACCAACGGCAGCAUACCUAUGGUGUUUUAGUUAUUAUGAUAAUAGUAAAUGCUAAGUAGCUAAGUAUGCUUAAAUCAAACGUUGAAAGAAUAUAAACGUUAAAUUUUUUAUUAAA
rnacentral:rRNA from 1 species